AGCGGUACAGGUGUAGCAUACAUGCUGACGAGCGGCGAACGGGUGAGUAAUGCUUUGGAAUCUUCCCAGUAGUGGGGAAUAACCAGUCGAAAGAUUGGCUAAUACCGCAUACGUCUGUAAAGGGAAAGCGGGGGCUCGUAAGACCUCGCGCUAUUGGAUGAGCCAAAGUCGGAUUAGCUAGUUGGUGGGGUAAUGGCCUACCAAGGCGACAAUCCGUAGCUGGUCUGAGAGGACGACCAGCCACACCGGAACUGAGACACGGUCCGGACUCCUACGGGAGGCAGCAGUGGGGAAUAUUGGACAAUGGGGGAAACCCUGAUCCAGCGACGCCGCGUGUGUGAAGAAGGCCUGCGGGUUGUAAAGCACUUUUAGUGGGGACAAAAAGCUACGGAUUAAUACUCUGUGGUCUUGAUUUAACCCAAAGAAAAAGCACCGGCUAACUCUGUGCCAACAGCCGCGGUAAUACAGAGGGUGCGAGCGUUAAUCGGAAUUACUGGGCGUAAAGCGCGCGU
rnacentral:rRNA from 1 species